UAGGGGUGAUAGGGAUUAGGUUGUAUACUAUACUGUCUGUAGGGGUGAUAGAGAUUAGGUUGUAUUCUAUACUGUCUGUAGGGGUGAUAGGGAUUAGGUUGUAUUCUAUACUGUCUGUAGGGGUGAUAGGGAUUAGGUUGUAUACUAUACUGUCUGUAGGGGCGAUAGGGAUUAGAUGUGGGUCAUAGUAUUGGAAGAGUUUUGCUUCCACCAGGAGACUUCUAGUUAAAUCCUGUACUCCUAAUGGUUUAUUAUUGCAUCUUUCAGAGAAACCGUAAAAUGAUGUUUCAUGACUGCGUAUGACCUUAGAGCCAUAUCCCCAUCCGUCCCGUACAGUUUACAGCUAUGGGACUACCCUGUUGUCCAUGACAACCACAAGCUCCCUGAAUGGCGGUAGUUCAUGGAGUUAUAGAGUUAUAGAGUUGAGACACAGAGGCCCUGUAGACGCUUCAGUUUAAUUCUGUUAUGUCGUUAUAAUGUGAUUGCCACCUUGACCCUGUCCACCCUCACYUUAAGAAGAUCACCCCUUAUCUCAUUUUCCUCCACCAACCCAAACAAAUCCUUGAGCUGGAUCAUAUCACUGUUCCUCCAAUCUUAUUCCUAAACGGGACCUUUCACUCUGUUUUCAACCAAUCAUAUCAUACUACUCAACAGAAACUGUGACUAUCUGUCCAAUCAAACACCUCAUUAGAACCCUGGAACUCGGUUGAACUCCUUCACUACAAAUGGACUUAAUAUGGAGCCUCAACCAGGAAGAAAACAGGAGACUUGGACCCUACGCCCUAUUCUAUGAAUGACAUGAAUGGGAAAUGGAAUUCAAGUAGAGACUAUUGUACCUUCCAGAAUAGUUGAGCUGGGGCAGACCUUAGUUUGGCCAAAUGUGAGCUUUGGUUUUGGGGAAUAUGAGGCGAAGGCAGUCUAUGUCACCAUUGCUCUGUGAGUUGUGAUGAACUUGUUAAAUCAGUGUGUUUUUGCUGCUACAGUAUGUAUGGACACACCUAUAACAGUCUGUCUAAAGUGUAGACUUAAAGUUAUAGUUCAAAUGACAACAUGACAUAUUGGGUUUGAACUAUCCCUUUUUAACGGAAGAAACAAAUUGUGUCRGUGUAAAUAUGUUGCUGUGUGACCCAAUGAACCGAGGACAGGAAAACGUUUUUAAAAACCCACACGUCGUGUCUAGCUACAGUGGUGGUGUGCAUGCCAGAUAGAUAGACUAGGUGCUCUAUUCAAUCAGAACAGCUUCAGCCAACAUCUGCAUAGCGGUUGUUUUGACGGCGGAACUGCGUUAGGGCUGUCAAAUACACAAAUGGCUCCCGGCAUUAUACCUAAAGAGGACAUUGCCAUUGUUUGCACGGAGUCGCAUUAACAGAUAUCCACACGUGGCCUUGUUAGAACACGGAAAUGUGAGAUGUAAUCUACACCUCCAUUAGGAUGAUAGAUGUUAAUCUACUCCUCCAUUAGGAUGAUAGAA